GGUCGGCCCCGCCCUCGAGGGGGUGGGACCCGCGGAGGCGCUGGCUGUGGAGAAGAGCCCGUGCACUCCCGCCCGUCUGGCGCUCCCACCCUGCUGCUCGGUGCUAACCUGGCUGUGUUGCCUUCGCUUGUUUGUUUUGUCGGGUCUCUCUCCCUAUUUAGGAGCUCAGAAAAACUCCGGGCGCGGGGUCAUUGUUUCCGCCUAUUUGCUCUUGAGGGGAUCCUCUUGUUUCCAAAAUGGACAGAGGUGUGCUGAAGUUUCGUCACCUUCGAGGAAUGGGGCGAAUUUUAGCACGAACGGAGGCAGGAGGGUUUUAUCUUUCCCUUCAUCCUCGAGGAGACAGCAGCAGCAGCAAGAAGGAAAAAAACAAACCCUCCAGCAGAAAACAAAACAAAAACACUCCUGGGACCAAAGGUCAUCAAUUUUACAUGGAAGAAACAACAUAAACUGCUUUGGCAGAAGAGUUCCUAUAAUCUACUCUAAAAGGUUUUUACCACAACCAACCUCUGGAGGCUGAGAAUCUCAAGAGUGAGGGGCCAGCAUCUGAUAAGGGCCUUCCUGCUGCAUCAUCCCAUGGCUGUAGGGCAAAGAGUGGGCAAGAGAAGGAGAAAGACAGAGCAACUACAGAUCUGCUGCCUGCCACUAUAGAUUUGUUUACAUUUUCCGGAAUUUUAUACGAAUGGAAUCAGUGAG